CUGCAACGUCGGUUUAGCCGACGUUGCAGUUAAGCUUGAAUCACAGCCCACAAAGCGGUGGUUCUUAAUUUGGAAAAUAUGAUGACCAGCAGGGGCAUCCGGGCUGGUACCCGGACUAUCUGCGGGAUCCGUGGUGGCUUACCAGUCGCUGCUUCAAGACUGGACAGUCAUGCGGUUUCUUCGCCGGUGGAGUCCCCUUACCGAGGGUGACCA
rfam:Pseudomonas sp. TTT2014-080ASC scaffold_2, whole genome shotgun sequence.